GUGUGGACGAAAACCCUGAGGCUAUACUCUUGCGAUUCAAGGCGGGAAACAUUAAAACAAGAGAAAGAGUGCAUCUUCUAGGUACCCUGUGAAUGCGGUGAGUCGUAUAUUGGAGGAAUAAAACUUUACGAGCAUAAAAAUAAUACGCAAGGAGGUGAAACAAUCGAGCUUUAUGGAGUUUCAGAAAACGAGCAACUUGGAGACUUGGGAAUCCCCCACAUAGCUUUUUGUCAAUGGCCUAUCAUUGCAGAUCGAGCUUAGCGUAAGUAACUGCUGACAACUUGGACAGCAUCAUUAUAACUGCUGACGUCUGAGUACUGAGUAAAAAGAUGUGUUGGUCCUCAACCUCAACAUGAUGGAUCGAGGAAAGCCAGACAAACAACGGGUCUAUCAGUACUGUAGUAUAACAAUCCAGGCUCGUCAACAAAGUUGAAGAGUCUAGAAGCACAGGCAUGGCAAGAUCUUUAUCAAAGUACCUAGACCUAAAACCACAAAGGGACUGCAGGAUUGAUCAACAAAAUGUCUUUUAAACUUUCUUAACUUGUAUCAAGGAACUCUUUGCUGCAGACUCUGCGAGAUGGAUCCUGAAAC